UACGGAGGGUGCAAGCGUUGUCCGGAUUUAUUGGGUUUAAAGGGUGCGUAGGCGGCCCGUUAAGUCAGUGGUGAAAUCCCAGGGCUCAACCCUGGAACUGCCAUUGAUACUGACGGGCUUGAGUUCGGUUAAGGCGGGCGGAACUGGUGGUGUAGCGGUGAAAUGCAUGGAUACCACCAAGAACCCCGAUUGCGUAGGCAGCUCGCUGAGCCGAAACUGACGCUGAGGCACGAAAGCGUGGGGAGCGAACAGG
rnacentral:rRNA from 1 species